UUGGGUGAUUCAUCUCCCCAGUAGUAAAUACUUAUCCAAUUCUUUCCCAAUUUGUGAAAGAAGGCUAAAGUUUUCUAUAUAAAGAAGUAGUCACUAUUCACAAACUUCCCAAAGUUGUCAUCAUCUUCCUGUAAUUUACCUCCAAAUAUUACUCAUCUCGUGAAUAUGUAUAUUCCCAACUGCCUCAAUUCAUUGUUAGGGUUUUGCGUUGCUUCAACAUCCUUUAAUUUGUUGAAAUUCAAAGGGAGUGACAAAGAUCAUAUUCACAAAGUUAUUACAACUAUUCUUCAAGGACAGAGACAUGUCAGUGAAUGGCGUCAGCUUAGAUGUUUAACCUUAUGGGGAUGCUAAGGAAGAUGGAUGUAUUGGCCUUUGUUUAAAUAUAAAUUGAGAUGAUAAAUUAUUAUUUGAUUAACCGUGGUGUCCGUGUCAGAUUUCGCGCACCUUGACUAAAUCCACUUGAAAGAUAUCAAGUAACUCUGUCCACUAAGAUUGGGAUAGAUAGGGAAGAAUCACCUAGUGUUUUUUGACUUUGCUGGGAUUUGAACUUGGAAUCUUAGGUUCUCAACCCAUUUCAUUGAUUAUUAGGCCACGCUCUUUCGUGCUAUUGAAAUGAUAUAUUAACAAAUCUAUACCUUUUGUAUAGAUAUUGCAUGAUACCAUGUCCAUACAUACACAAAGGUUGAGCUAAUACCAUUGAUGUAAGGGUGACUUACUCGUUCUUUCCAUUGAUGUUCUAUGCAAUUUUCUGCUGUGGGUUCUCCAAGCAUUUUGUUUGAUCUUAUCCAUACAAGUUUGUCUUUUGUACAAAAAGCUUUUCUCAGCUUAAGGUUUCCUUGGUUGUCUUUGUAGAGUAAAAAAGGGCAGCCCGGUGCACUAAAGCUACCGCUAUGCACGGUGUUCGGGGAAGGGCCCCACCACAAGGGUGUAUCGUACGCAGCCUUACCUUGCAUUUCUGCCUGAGGCUGUUUCCAAGGCUUGAACCCGUGUCCUCCUGGUCACAUGACAACAACUUUACCAGGGCCAAUGAUAUGGCCUAGGGACUCUCUGACAGAUACGGAGAUGCUAUGUCUAUACUCAGUAGCUACGAGAUUAAGGCCAGCACUGCAGCUGUGUCUGAUGCCAUAUUUACAAAGUAUAGUGAUUUUACAGUCAACUGAUUUCGGAUGCAGUGUCUGCCCUUCUUGAGAUAUCAAGGAAGCAUGGGAUGAUAACAACACGAUCAUUAAGUGGGCAGUCUCAAAGGGGAUGUAACACAGGUAAAACAAGCCGCUAAGGAGAUGGAACACAGGCAAAACAAGCUGCUAAAGGAGAUGAAACACAGACAAUGAAGCAUAAUAUGGUCUUUCCACCUGUUCAUGAAAAUACUGUUUACAAGAAAGGCAACUUAUGUGUACGUGAACGAAUGUGUACACAUCUCGUCUUCCAUCAAGCUGUCCUCAAAGAUAAAGCUUAAGCUCCUUUAUGAGAUAGUCAGAAGCUCUUCUUGUUUUGCUGAUUAAUUGUUGAUCUAAAGGUGAUAAGUAAAGGGAGAGAGUGAUCAAUUUGGGAAUGGAGCAUCAAAAGCACAGCUGGAGAAUGCAGCCAAAAAAGAACUAGAUUCAGAAGCUACUCAUGCUUCAAGGAAGAGAGCUUGGAAACCUAAUUUUUUGAAUAAACCAGAUGAAGGAUAUGAUCAUGCUUGGUCAAGUGGAGGAAGGAGAUCAAAAGCCCAUAAUCUCUUGAAGGGUCGUGGAAAACCAUACUAAAAUAGACAAGUAGCUGUUCACAAGAAGACAGACCGCUCUACCACCGAGCUAUGGAGAAACAACAGGAGAUUCGAUCUCAUAGAGUUCAGCGCCAUCUAUUUUCGUUGUUCAAAUCUGUGACGACACAAAAAAACCAUUGUUAAAACUCUCUGACAACAUGAAAAAAAUCAAAUGCUCUGCCCUCCCUCUCUAUCCAUCCAAGUGAUUGUAAUAAGGCAGAGGCGGCUGUUGGCGUCCCCUCCAGUCAAGAAUUGGGCCCUCGCAAUAACUAGCUGAUAUUCUUCUCUCAUGUCUUUCUUUGUUCAUGGUUCAGUAAACAUUUAUUAUUACUAAGUAGAGCCCAACACAAUUAUUGACGUUCUCUUUUGUUUCUUGCUGUUGGUAUAAUCCCGUUACUGCAUAUGUGAGGUGUCAUUGAUGGAGUGGAAUGCACUGUGUAAGGAGUUCUUCUGUUUUCUUUGUUGGUCUGCGAAGGCCUGCUAGGCUUCUGAUAUAACUUUUGUCUUAUAUUACAUUUGAUCAUAGCAA